GCCCCAGUGGCCUAAUGGACAAGGCACUGGCCUCCUAAGCCAGGGAUUGUGGGUUCAAGUCCCAUCUGGGGUG
rnacentral:tRNA from 1 species